ensembl:lncRNA
AGGGGACAGUAAACAUGUUAUGCUCCAGAAGCAGAGACUCACGUGCAGGCAAUCACAACCAGUCCACAGAGAAUGCAAUACAAUAAUAUUUAUUAGGAGAGAGAUUCAAUUACAGGAGAAAUUACUUAAGCAAAACAAAGCUAUCUAUAACUCAAGGAAGACCGCUAAUGGUGGGAGGCUAAAUAACAGGUAAGCUAAACUACAUAAGAUAACCAGAGGAAACUGUCAUAGCCCAAACACUGUAACAGUGGCAGAAAAGACUAAAUCAAAAGGACUACUCAACCAAUAACCGACUAAAUCUGUAUGUGGCCAGAACAAUAAACACUAAACUAGAGGAGAGUAGUCAUGGAAUCAGAAAACACUAUUAACAGGAAUUCGUGAAACAGCUCAAGCUGACACAAAACUACGAUUACUAGAAACUAACUAUGAUUGGGUACCGGGAAGAGCAGGGAACAGACUGUGGAAGAACAGGACCGGGAAGGAAGUGGGUCCAGAUGCUGGAGGUGGUGUGUGGCUGGAGCAGUGACAGAGAAGAACAGGUGCUGCAGAGGAAUGGCGUUCCGGUGUACGGCUGGAGGUGAGACGGAGACAAGCCAGUGCUGCAGAGGUGAGUGAAUGAGGCAGGAUGUGAACUGGGAAACAGAGAAACACGAUUAGAACGACGGAAGACUCAGGAGCUGGACAAAAAAAGCAACAACACUGACUAGUACAACAAUCCAGCAAAGAGUGAUGGCUGUGCCCCGCUUAUAUGGAGAAGGUGGUAGUUGCUGAUUAUUCCCACCUGCCUGUGAUAACCGAUGAGCAACACCUGCUCACACACCAAGCUCACGCCACCUGGAGAGAGACAGAGAGAGAGAAGAAACUGCCACUAUGUGGCAUUAGAUGCAGAGAACAUGACAAAACAGCUUUCUCUUCUACGAAACACAGCAGCAGACGUGAUGAAAUCAUGUAAUUUCUCUCUGACGUGUUGAUGAAGUAAAGUGUUAGCUCACUUUUCUUACUUCCUCAUUGUGGAAUAUUAUGAAACUGUAUACUGGCUUUACACAAGUCUGGCCUAAGUCUUCGGUCAGCAAGACUGCAGCUGAUCCAAAGAUUUGAUGAAGAACUGUUUUAUUGCAUCCACAUGAGGCAGUAUACAUCCAGGUAUGAUAGUGAGCAGAAGAUGAGUGAGUGUUUGUAUGUAUGAAUAUGUAUGUGGUUUCCUAUAAAGGAGCAAACAGAAAAAUAUAAUGAAUAAAUGUGCUACACACUAAUAAACAUGUAUAUGUGUGCAAUGAUAGUAACAAAUACACAGUCGUAUAACCGGCCUAUCAUUAUAUUAACACAGUUAUAUAUGCAUACGUUAAUAAAGAAUAAACAUGGUUGCAAUUGCGCUUAAUGUCCACAAGGGCGCUCCAGAGGGCCACCUACAGAGGUUUCAUAACUUGGCCCUCGUGUUUAAUGGCGGACAGAGCGAGGCAGAUCAAUUAACCUUAGCAGAGAACAUAAAUGCGCUUUGGCACAGCGAAAUCCCUCUAUGUAAGGUGGGUUUUACAUAUAGCACAUAGAUAACAAUAUUUACAAACGUUUGGAAUACUUACAUAGGCAUUUACACACAAAUAAGCACAAACACACAAAAGUCCACGAGAUGCGUCUCACUGUUGUGGCUCCCUCUGCGUACUGAACACCUGAGGAGCAGUGCGCAUGUCAUUGGGAGCCGAAUGUGACGCAAUGACGCUGUCUCUUAAAGGCACAGCAGUGGAUCAGCCAUGGACAAAGGUUUGCUGCUGGUUCUGUUGUGUCUGCAGGUCGUCCUGCUCACUACAGUCUUCACUUCUGCUGAUGCAGCUGCUCUGCUGAGAGACGAUCAGCAUCAACAACCUGUUGAUCCGACGAGAAGUCUGCAGCAAGUGAAAGAAGGAGGACAGAUGGAAAAAAAACGUCUAUUCCGGAGACACUGCGGGAGCAGACCAGGAGGAUGCACUUUGUUGGGAAGCAUGCUUCGGCCAGUACAACCCACUCUGAAACCAGACAUCUAGAGGCAAGCUCUGCAGGAAGUGCCAUCAGAUGCAGAAGACUGCAAAUGAAUGAAGACAAUUGUAAUGCUUACAAAACAAUGCAAAGGCUUUUAAUUAGAAAUAAAAGAUUUCAAAUCAGA